rnacentral:lncRNA from 1 species
UUUCAAAUGUUGAAGCUCUGCUUCUCUUUCAAAUAUAAGUUUCAGUUUCAAGUCAUUUCUUUACUCAGGCAUAUGAGCAUAGGCUUUUAGAAGCAGUUAGGUCAAAUCUUGAAUGCUUUGCUGCUUAGAAAUUUCUUCCACAAGAUACCCUAAAUCACCUCUCUCAAGUUCAAUGUUCCACUGAUUCUUACAGCAGGAGCACAAUGCCGCCAGUCUCUUUGUUGAAGCAUAUGAGAGUGACCUUUACUCCAGUUCCCAAUAAGGUUUUUAUCUCCAUAUGAAACCUACUCAGCCUGGACUUCAUUGUCCAUAUCACUAAUCUGCAUUUUGGUCACAACUAUUUAACAAGUCUCUAGGAAGUUCAAAUUUUUCCCUAAUCUUCCUGUCUCCUGAGCCUUCCAAACCCUCACAAGCUGCAGAUGAUUACCAGUUCCAAAGCUGCUUCCAUAUUUUAAGGUGUCUUCAAAACUGUCCCACUCUGAGUACCAAUUUUUGGUACUAGUUCAUUCUUGCAUUGUUAUAAAGAAAUGCCUGAGACUGGUUAAUUUCCAAAGAAAAGAGGUUUAAUUGGCUCAUGGUUCCAUAGGUUGUACAGGAAGCAUGGCAGCAUCUGCUCAGCUUCAAUUAUGGUGGAAGGCAAAGGGGAAACUGGCACAUCACAUGGCUGGAGCAGGAGGAGUGGGGGUAGGCACUACACACUUUUAAACAUGAUCUCAUGAUAACUUGCUAUUGCCAUGGAAACACCAAGGGGGAUGGUGUUAAACCAUGAGAAACUGCCCCCAUGACCCAAUCGCCUCCCAAGAGGCCCCAUCUCCAACACUGGGGAUUAUAGUUGAACAUGAGAUUUGGGCAGAGACAGAGUUCCAAACCAUAUGACUCCAUGAGCAUUAAAUAUAUGCAGAAAAAAGCAUUUGACAGAUUCAACAUCUAUUAGUGAUGAAAACUAUCAACAAAUUAGGUCUAUAAAGAAUGUGCAACUACACAAUAUAAAGCCACAUAUGACAGAGCCACAGCUAGCAUCAUCAUCAACGGAGAAAGAAGAUCCAGAACAAGACAAGGAUGCCCUCUCGCCACUUCAAUUCAGUAUAGUACUGGAGGUGUUAGAACAACUAGGCAGCAGAAACAAAAGACAUCCAAAUUGGAAAGAAAAACGUUGAGUUGUCCAUUUGCAGAUGACAUGAUUUUUUGUUUCUUGAGACAGUCUCUUGUCACCCAGACUGGAAUGCAGUGGCAUGAUCAUGGCUUACUGCAGCCCCCACCUCCCUGCCUCAAGUGAUCCUCCUGCCUCAACCUCCCGAGUAGCUGGAACUAAAGGCAUAUGCCACCACACACGGCUUUAAAAUUUUUUUUUUUAAGACGUUGUCCAUGUUGCCCAGGCUGGUCUCAAACUCAUGAGCUCAAGCUCCAUGACAUUGAUCUGGGCAAUGACAUUUUGGAUUUUACUCUAAAAACACAGACAACAAAAGCAAAAAUAGACAAAUGAGAUGACAGCAAAGUGAGAAGCUUCUGCACAGCAAAGGAUACAGUGAACAGAGUGGAGAGAAAACCUACAGGAUGGGAGAAAAUAUUUGCAAACCACACAUCUAACAAGGGGCUACUAUCCAAAAAAUAUACAGAAUUCAGACAACUCAAUAGCAAGAAACAAAGAAAUUGGAGGCUGGGCGUGGUGGCUCAAGCCUGUAAUCCCAGCACUUUGGGAGGCCGAGGUGGGUGGAUCACCUGAGGUCAGGAGUUCGAGACCAGCCUGGUCAACAUGGUGAAACCUUGUCUCUAUAGGUUCAAGCGAUUCUCCUGCCUCAGCCUCCCAUGUAGCUGGGAUUACAGGUGCCAGCCACCACACCUGGCUAACUUUUUGUAUUUUCAGUAAAGACGGGGUUUCACCAUGUUGGCCAGGCAAACUCCUGACCUCAGGUGAUCCACCCUCCUCGGCCUCCCAAAGUGCUGAAAUUACAGGUGUGAGCCGCUGCUCCCAGCUGGGAUACACAUAUUUAAAGUUGUUACCAAACUUCAAGGAUCAAAGAAAGAUUCCUAAGGAGGGUACAUCUGAGAAAAGAAAAAGUUCUGUUCAAAUAAAUAUUUUUCCGAGAGUUUUCCAUAGCAAUGUUUAAUGCUAGAAAAAAUGGAAUAAUAUGACACAUAUGUGUGUAUACUGUACAUAUAACUAAAGACAUAUAAAAUGGUCUGAAAUUACAAUGCACAAAGCCAAUAGCAUUAGUUACUUCUGAAAAAUGUACUGGAAUUGAAAAGAAGACAUUGGUCUUGUGUAAAAUUUUAAUUUUUUAAACAGAAUAUGAAACAAUAUUAAUAAUAACCACCACAACAAUAAGAACAAUGCUGAAGCAACCUCUUCCAAGUUAUCAGGACAAGACCAUGUGAUCCAAACAGGUAUGUUCAAGUUGUUUUUUAAGUAGAAGGAAGCAAACCUCAUUUUCAAAUAUACAAGGAGAGACCCAUCUCAUGAAAUAAUUUCGAUAAGCAAGAAAUGACUGGAGAAGCCAUGACUUUUAAAAAAUUGAUAGUAAGCAACCAAUCCAUUAUAAAAUUGUUAGACGAUUAUAAAAAUGAUUAUAGAAUUACAUGCUGUAAUUCCUCAAGGAAGAAUAUGGUGGGUGAGUUCUUAUAUAUGUAACAUUGAUAAAUGUGAAUGAUGUCUUACAAUUUAAAUUAUGCCAAAAGAAGUAAUGUGUUUUUGAUGGUGUUAUCAGAUUAGAUUCUUCCAGAAAGGUUGAAGGAUCUUUCGGAAAGAUUCGAACAUUAAACAAACCAGAGAAUAAGGUAAUAGAUAGCCAUUGUAGGUUCCUGGAUGGUAUGGCAGAUUAUAUUACUCUCAAGAAGCAUUUGUUCCCUCCCCACCCCCAACGCUGCCUGCAUGUACUACCCCAUUUCAUUAAUGUUGGACUUCACCAGGUGACUUUCUUUGCUCAGUGUAGCAUUAGCAGACUUGGUUCUGCCAUUACUGUUACAAGAAUAAUGGAAAGCUGACCAUUCUUCUUCUUUAGUUCCAAAAGUAAAAAUAAAAUGAGUGUUAAGAGACAGAAUACAAGCCACAGACUAGGAGAAAAUAUUUGCAAAACACAUGUCUGAUAAAGGGCUUAUAUCUAAACUAGACAGAAAAUUCUUAACAAUUAAAAAACAAUUUAAAAGUGAGAAAAAGAUCUGAAGAGACAUCUGAACAAAGAAAAUACACAAGAGACAAAUCAGCAAAUAAAAAGAUUCUCAGCCAGUUGCGGUGGCUCGUACCUUUAAUCCCAGAACUUUGGGAGGCCAAGGUGGGCAGAUCACCUGAGGUCAGGAGUUUGAGACCAGCCUGGUCAACAUGGUGAAACCCUGUCUCCACUAAAAAUAUAAAAAUUUGCUGGGAGUGGUGGCAUGCACCUGUAAUUGCAGCUACUUGGGAGGCUGAGGCAGGAGAACUGCUUGAACCCAGGAGGCGGAGGUUGCAGUGAGCAGUGAUCACACCAUUGCACUCCAGCCCAGGCAACAGAGUGAGACUCCACCUCAAAAGAAAAAAUAAGGCAAUUUUACAGUAAAUACGAAAUCUCAUUUCUGAGGGCCCCCCCCACCUCCAGUUAGGUGAUCCAUUUGGUAUGGUUGGGAGAUGUGACACUCAAGGCUGGUAUACCACGUGGUUACUGAUUGAGAAAUGUACAUCACUGGGAAGAAUGGAUGGACUGCAUGUUCUCUAUGCAGCUAUCAGUACACCUCUCUCUAAGCUGGCUUUUGAAAAAUAUGGCUGUGGGUUUGAGGUGAUAACACUACCCCCUCUCCAGCAGCUCCUGUGUCGUGGUGCACGUAUCAGGUGGUCUUUGUAGCCAGUGAAGAUAGAAUCCGGAUUGGAAUAUAUGUUAAACAAAGGCUGAAUCAGGACAUGUGCCAAGCUGAAGACUUUUCCAGUUCUGUACAACUGAGCCUCAACAGUGUGUUAUGACAAAAUUGUUCUCCAAACAUUAAUUUGUGGUCUGCUCCCAUACACAAACAAUACCAAAUAAUGGACUAUGUGUCCAUCUUGUCCAUCUUUGACACUGUGUUCUACCAAGAGAGACACCUCCCAA